UACGAAGGGGGCUAGCGUUGCUCGGAAUUACUGGGCGUAAAGGGCGCGUAGGCGGACAGUUCAGUCGGGGGUGAAAGCCCGGGGCUCAACCUCGGAAUUGCCUUCGAUACUGGCUGUCUUGAGUACGGGAGAGGUGUGUGGAACUCCGAGUGUAGAGGUGAAAUUCGUAGAUAUUCGGAAGAACACCAGUGGCGAAGGCGACACACUGGCCCGUUACUGACGCUGAGGCACGAAAGCGUGGGGAGCAAACAGG
rnacentral:rRNA from 1 species